rnacentral:misc_RNA from 1 species
AUUUUGAUCAUGUAAAUCUUAUAUUCCUAUCUUUUCUAAAAUUUUUCUCAAGCAUAUUUUGCAAAUUGCUGCAUCAUUAUCUGCUCAUGAAACAUGGAUGAAAUUGAAAAAUUGUUCAAUAACCAUAUCAAUACCAAGAAUAUGAAGUUUAAGAUCAGCUUCAAUUAGGAAACCAAAGGCAUAAUGCACCAUGGCAAAUUUAUUGGGCUCUUGACCCAAAUGGCACUUUCUUAUUGGGCUCUUAAUGCUUCCCUUCUUUAUAUUUUUCAAUGAUUCAUCUAUGCCUACCUCUAUAAUCUAUAUUAUUGAUUGCCUUUGUCAUGAUUCUUGCUAAAGGAUGGAUUGUUGAAUUGAAAAUUUUAUUAGAAAUAUUUUUGUUUUUGGUCACUCACCCACUAAAAACUUGAGUUCUUUUAAUUUUUUUGACAUUCCA